AAAAUCCGUCGACUUUAUAAGUCGNGAGGGUUCAAGUCCCU
rnacentral:tRNA from 1 species